UACGAACGCACGCGUGCUCUUCUUCUUCAAUCCUCAGUAAACGACCAUUCUAGUCCUCGCUCUCAUCAUCCACUUGUUCAGUUUUUUUCCUUCCUUCUUCCUUCCUAUCAGGUUGUCAGCUAUACACCAAAAGAAAAAUUGCAUAUGCUGUGUGUAUGUAGGGGUUGGAUUUUUGUAGAAAAAAACAACAAAACAGUUUUUAAAUUAGGAAAAAAAACCGGUUGGUAACUGUUCUCUUUUUUCAAUUAAUUCUUAAUAGAUCAUUGACCAUCAUGGUGUUAACAUCUGCCUCUGAAAGAAGAAUUAUCGCUUAUAUUUAUUGUAAAUUGUUUUCAAAAUACAUUUUAAAUUUAGAAGAUUCUCCUCUUUAUAUAAGUAAUUCAUUUCCCUAAUCCCCUCCAAUAAAAAGAGUAUAUAAAAGGCAUUGAUAUUAACAAGAGUCUAAAUUCAGUAAUACCCUAAGCUUUUCUAUCGCUUUACCAUCGAGACCUACAAAUAUCCCCUCCAUACGCAUGUAGAUAUGGCUUAAUUCCAUCUAUAACGAUAUUAAUUUACUAGCAAAAGUACCCAACAAUGUCCAGAGCUAUUAGCGUCGAAGAACAUACAAACUUUUUUUUAUUGAUUUAGCAGAUAACUCCCCAACAAAUCUUCUACGUUUUUCAUGAGCACACUUACACAUAGUUACUUAAUACCGGGAUGUUAUCUCCACUAAAAAGAAUAAUGAUAACAGCUUUAGAAAUAAAGAACAUUGUUCAGGUUGGCAAAAAAAUAAUAAUAAUAAUAAUAAUGCUUAAGAUUUACAGCCCAAAUAGUAUGUACUCCCCUUUUUUUCUUUAAUAUGAGCUUUAGCUACACUCGCUAGUUGCUAAACCUCAUCUAGUCAAAUUAAUUAUCUUUUUAAAUAUAUCUACUCCCCUUUAAGUUUUUUAAUGACAAGCUGAUCCAUAGAUAACUAAAGGACUUUAUGCAAAGACUUAUGGACACUCAAGGCAAGGAAGGAAACAAUGAUCAGUUAUUGCCAGAAGUGGAAACUUGGACUCGAGACUUGUAACUUAAGUUAGAAUUGAUUCCAUAUUUUGAAGACGAUAUCACAAUCAAAGACUCGAGACUUGCCUUGGACUCCAUAGCUAAGUCUCUUGACUCAACUUGUACUAUAGAGGUAGUAUAUUGUGGACUCUGGAAAAGCCUUAACAAUAUGGAACCUUUAUUAUAGUAAUUGACUUGAAAUGAGCUUGAAUCACAUAUGAGGACUCAAUUAAAAUAUUCAAGGACUUGGACAUGACUUGAGAUUCGACUUGAACUUAAAGUAUAAGGACUUUUCCACUCAUCUUAAUGUUGUGCGAGUGGAACCGACACGCCAAACUCUUAGGAGGCUAUGGAUUAAAGAUAUCUGUAGAAAGGAUUAGACACCUACUAGAAUUCAAAUGUGGACUGAUUAUAUUUUUGAAUAAAUACUUUGUAGACGACCUAUCGGAUAACAAUUCCUGCCGUUCUACACGUCACUGCCUAUGAAAAGGAAGCAUACUAAAAAAGAUAUAAUUCGAACAUUUUUGUACCCCAAACACACUCCUUAAUCUUGCGAAAGAUGAAAUACGAAUUGGGUAUCUUCUGAAGCAAGACGCAGUAAAUAAUUAGAGUUAUUAAAUGAACAAAUUGGCACGUUUUACUCCUCCAAUCAACUCAACAGUUUGUCAGACAUCCCAUUAGGGUUAUUUUAAGAGAAAGAGCAUAGCUUUUAUCCUUAUCAAAAUCAUAAGAACCAUACAGUGUCAAGGUUUGUGUAUAUUGUGGGCGUUCAAAUAAAGUUAAGGUUGUUCAUGUAAUUCAUAACGACAUAGCUUAUUUGAAAGUUAUUCUUGGGUAGAAAGACUAAAAUGUGGAACCAAAAGAGAUGAUUACGAAAAUUGAGAAAUUGAUUUCUUCUAAUUUCUUGUAUAUCAAUAAGUUAAAAUUGGCAAAUUUUGCUCUCUUCACCAUCAAUAAGGAUAGUGGAAGACUAAUAUAUACAAUGGACCUUGUGUAUAAGUGCUAUAUGCGUAGUAAAAUUAUGAUGAUUUUUAAAUUGAUUGAAUUGAUAGCUUAGAAACGUCUAAUUUCUCAGUUAAAAGCUAUGUUCUCUCUGUUAAUGUGCAAGAAAAUAGGAAAUACAAGAGACAUAGUGAUCCUGGAGAAGAUAAGUCAAAUGUAUCUUAAAUUCAUUGUAUGUGUAUAAAUCCAAAAAAUAUUGUAUUUAAUAUUAUAACUGUUGUAGCUAGUAAAUGUGCAUUUCAUUUCUGUAUUCAGGGUGAAAUAUUAUUUUUACUGCACUCAUUUUUUUUCUGUGAGGGUAUUUAAAAAAAUUAUACGCAUAUUUUUAUGCAACCUGUAUUCUUGAAUGUAUCAUUAUUGGUUUUCAUUGGUUUAUUUAAUGUGAAUAAAUUAUUUUCUACAU
rnacentral:lncRNA from 1 species